rnacentral:rRNA from 1 species
AUGCAAGUCGAGCGGUAACAGGAGAAGCUUGCUUCUCGCUGACGAGCGGCGGACGGGUGAGUAAUACUUAGGAAUCUACCUAGUAGUGGGGGAUAGCUCGGGGAAACUCGAAUUAAUACCGCAUACGACCUACGGGAGAAAGGGGGCAACUUGUUGCUCUCGCUAUUAGAUGAGCCUAAGUCGGAUUAGCUAGAUGGUGGGGUAAAGGCCUACCAUGGCGACGAUCUGUAGCUGGUCUGAGAGGAUGAUCAGCCACACCGGGACUGAGACACGGCCCGGACUCCUACGGGAGGCAGCAGUGGGGAAUAUUGGACAAUGGGGGCAACCCUGAUCCAGCCAUGCCGCGUGUGUGAAGAAGGCCUUUUGGUUGUAAAGCACUUUAAGCAGUGAAGAAGACUCUAUGGUUAAUACCCAUAGACGAUGACAUUAGCUGCAGAAUAAGCACCGGCUAACUCUGUGCCAGCAGCCGCGGUAAUACAGAGGGUGCAAGCGUUAAUCGGAAUUACUGGGCGUAAAGCGAGCGUAGGUGGCUUGAUAAGUCAGAUGUGAAAGCCCCGGGCUUAACCUGGGAACGGCAUCUGAUACUGUUAGGCUAGAGUAGGUGAGAGGAAGGUAGAAUUCCAGGUGUAGCGGUGAAAUGCGUAGAGAUCUGGAGGAAUACCGAUGGCGAAGGCAGCCUUCUGGCAUCAUACUGACACUGAGGUUCGAAAGCGUGGGUAGCAAACAGGAUUAGAUACCCUGGUAGUCCACGCCGUAAACGAUGUCUACUAGUCGUUGGGUCCCUUGAGGACUUAGUGACGCAGCUAACGCAAUAAGUAGACCGCCUGGGGAGUACGGCCGCAAGGUUAAAACUCAAAUGAAUUGACGGGGGCCCGCACAAGC